GGGCACUGGAAGGUCCNUAAACCGAAAGGGGCUCUGCCCGCCCGAGGAUGGGCCGGCGGCCGAUUAGGUAGUUGGUGGGGUAACGGCCCACCAAGCCCAUAAUCGGUACGGGCAGUGAGAGCUGGAGCCCGGAGAUGGACACUGAGACACGGGUCCAGGCCCUACGGGGCGCAGCAGGCGCGAAACCUCCGCAAUGCUCGAAAGAGCGACGGGGGGACCCCAAGUGCCGUGGUACAACCACGGCUUUUCCGGAGUGUAAGAAGCUCCGGGAAUAAGGGCUGGGCAAGGCCGGUGGCAGCCGCCGCGGUAAUACCGGCGGCCCGAGUGGUGGCCACUAUUAUUGGGCCUAAAGCGUCCGUAGCCGGGCUUGUAAGUCCCUGGCGAAAUCCCACGGCUCAACCGUGGGGCUUGCUGGGGAUACUGCGGGCCUUGGGACCGGGAGAGGCCGGGGGUACCCCUGGGGUAGGGGUGAAAUCCUAUAAUCCCAGGGGGACCGCCAGUGGCGAAGGCGCCCGGCUGGAACGGGUCCGACGGUGAGGGACGAAGGCCAGGGGAGCGAACCGGAUUAGAUACCCGGGUAGUCCUGGCUGUAAAGGAUGCGGGCUAGGUGUCGGGCGAGCUUCGAGCUCGCCCGGUGCCGAAGGGAAGCCGUU
rnacentral:rRNA from 1 species